rnacentral:rRNA from 1 species
UACGGAGGAUGCGAGCGUUGUCCGGAUUUAUUGGGUUUAAAGGGUGCGUAGGCGGACUGUCAAGUCAGCGGUAAAAUUGAGAGGCUCAACCUCUUCCCGCCGUUGAAACUGGUGGUCUUGAGUGGAUGAGAAGUACGCGGAAUGCGUGGUGUAGCGGUGAAAUGCAUAGAUAUCACGCAGAACUCCGAUUGCGAAGGCAGCGUACCGGCAUCCAACUGACGCUGAGGCACGAAAGCGUGGGGAUCAAACAGG